UGGGGAAUAUUGGACAAUGGAGGCAACUCUGAUCCAGCAAUUCUGUGUGUGUGAAGAAGGUUUUAGGACUGUAAAACACUUUUAGUAGGGAAGAAAAAAAUGACGGUACCUACAGAAGAAGCGACGGCUAAAUACGUGCCAGCAGCCGCGGUAAUACGUAUGUCGCGAGCGUUAUCCGGAAUUAUUGGGCUUAAAGGGCAUCUAGGCGGAUAAUCAAGUUGAAGGUGAAAAGCUGUGGCUCAACCAUAGUCUUGCCUACAAAACUGAUUAUCUAGAGUACUGGAAAGGUGGGUGGAACUACACGAGUAGAGGUGAAAUUCGUAGAUAUGUGUAGGAAUGCCGAUGAUGAAGAUAACUCACUGGACAGAAACUGACGCUGAAGUGCGAAAGCUAGGGGAGCAAACAGGAUUAGAUACCCUGGUAGUCCUAGCUGUAAACGAUGAUCACUGGGUGUGGGGAUUCGAAGUCCCUGUGCCGAAGCAAAAGCGAUAAGUGAUCCGCCUGGGGAGUACGUUCGCAAGAAUG
rnacentral:rRNA from 1 species